UCAGGGUGAUUUUUUUUUUUGGGGAAAUUGGGAUCCUUGUAUUUUUUGACAUUAUAUGAAGAAGAAGAAGAGGAAACCAUAUUUGUUUGACUACAAACCAUUUUUCUUACUACCAAAUUGCCAGAAGAAAAUUUCUGAUGGUGGGGCUUCUAAUUCCCAAAUAUUUCAUCUUUUCACCUGAUAAUCACAUGCGUAUCUCAAUAACAUAAGAAAUAAAAUCACCCUGAUCAGGGCGGUAAACUAGUUUUGGCAAAUGAAAGGCCAAGGAAGGCAUGCCCGAUAACCAAUGGCCAUUAUACUUUUAACUGUCAAAAUUCUCACUGGAAACCAAUCCCUGCUCAUCGAGCAGAAGCAGAACCAGAGGAAAGUCUUUCACUCCGUGCUUUAUCAGCCCUUUCCACGUAAUCUUGAUGGGACUGAUGUUUUGUUCCUCGGUUCAUAAGGUACCAGGGGACGCCAAAAACAACACUGAUGAUGGCGAUACCAGCCAAG
rnacentral:misc_RNA from 1 species